UGAAUUCAAACAAAGCUUCUCACUCGUCCAAGCACAACGAAGAGAGGAGGAGAGGAAAAAGAAGAGAAGAGAAAGUGACAGAGAAAGAGAAAGUAAAAGAGGAUAAAAAUGGAGGAAAACAUGAACAAAUUAAGCAAAAGUUUAGCAAACUUCUGCAACAACCUUGAAUCCACUUCUCACGCUUUUAAACAAUCCCUCGAUCGGCGUCCCAUUCCUCUUGAUUCCGCAUCAACGACAUUCAUCCAAUCCCUAAAUCGGAGAGUAUCAUCAAUACUGGGUGACCUCAAUUUGCUGGAAUCAAUGUCACUUGGCACCGUUUCCUUUGAAGAGUUAUUGGGUCACUGCAAUCAGCUUUACAAACUCAAUCAUUCUCAUCUUCUUCACCUUCAUUCCCAUCUUCAAUCAUUCCAUUACAUUUCCCCAAGUGAUGGAGUUGAAGAUCUUGAAGAGGAUUUUAUGGCUCAUAGUAUUUGUGGUAGUCCUGAACCCGAAACACAGUUGUCGGGUUCUCGUUUCAGGUCUAUUACCAACAAUAUGGAUGAUGAUUCUUUAUUCGACAAAUCACCCAGCUUGCUUAACCUUGGUCUAUCUGAUAUUUGCCUAGCUACACUUGCAUCUGGAGGUGGUCGCGGGCAUGAUGCGCUUGAUAGUCCACCAAAAUUACAUAGUUUGGAGGUCCAGAACCAAAAUGCUGUGAAUUAUAUUGGUGGAGAAGAAAGAGAUGAACUCAAGUUAUCUGAAACUUCAAAGUUGAUACUUGUUUCAGACGAUGAUUAUGAAAGUCUGCCUUCUUACAUGAAAAGUGUCGCUCCGUGGAAGCAUUAUUUUUGUAGGAUCUACAAUCUGCAGUUGAGAAGAUGAACUCGUUUCUAAGCAAGAAAGGAAAUAUGGAACAGUGUACCUUUUUCCAUCCCGAGGAACUUGAAUCCAUGGGAUUAGGGACUAAGGGAAGAUCAUAUGUCUUGUUGCUUGUGCGAAUGAAGCGGCUGAACGUUGAGACUAAUAACGGAUUAAUUUCUUAUAGAGUGUUGUAGAAGAUCGGCCAAGUAAUGAGCAAAGCUGUAAAUAUUGGAGACCAUUAAUAUUUACAUGUUUAAAACGAGAUUAUGUCUAUAAAAAUCUCUGGUAGCGUGCAACUCUAGUAGGUGACUUAUGCUUUUUUCUCAGCUUUUGCUUUCACAAAUUCGUAUUUUACUGUAACAUACGCUGCAAAUUAUGUGCUCACUUUUUAGGUAUUUGAUAAUUUACAUCAUAA